UCCAUCCUGCUGAUUUUUCAAAGUCUGCAGAAGCCUGAGUGGCCUGUUGCACAGUCUACCCAAGGGACAUGGACUUGGUCAUCCAUGGCACAGAAGAGAUCCGACCUCAAAUCGAGAUAAAGGUGGACACACCUGUUAUCUAAAUUAUGCGAUUUAUCCAGUUGAAGAGGCUUCUUGUAAGUAAAUAACAUGAAAAAUUUUCAUAUUCUUACAUAUAAUAAGACCGUGUAACAACUUUGCUCCAAUUUUUAAUUAAAUAGCAUAUUAAGUCACUUUUCCCCAGUGACUUAAAGUGGAAUAACUUGAGAUAAAUAAAUCAUAUAAUUCAUGAUUAGAUUGUUUAGUCAUUCAGUCGUGNNNNNNNNNNNNNGACCCCAUGGAUUGUAG
rnacentral:lncRNA from 1 species